GGUGAAUUGCAUUGGAUGCUCAUGGCUUGUUUUGUUGGUCAGGUAGCUCGAAAACUGGAAGUACUUCUGGCUGCCACAUGGUUUUGGCUGCAUCACAUUUUGGUUUCAUUGCAGUUGUGUCAGUGGGUAGGUUGCCUUGUUAUGGCUCUGUUAUUGUGCAGUACCUGUUUUCUUCACUCUGCUUUUUGAUAAGUGGGAAAUUGGCUAGAAGGUUGUUGAAUCCGUUGUGACUCGGUUAGACUUUCGGUUAUGAGCUUUCGAGUUUCGGUUAUAAGUUGGAGGCCAAUCUAUUGUUACUGCAGGUUGAAGCAACUCUGUUGGAAUCAUGCUUGGCCUGGAACGAAUGGUUUGUAAGGUGGAAAGCUUGGAUGAAAAUUUGAAAAUUGGGAUUGGAAUUGUACUUGAAAUGUUUUAUGGUUGUAAAUGUAUGGUUGUGAUCAUAUGAUAUAGAAUAAAAUUGGAAUUGUGUUGGAUUGGAAUUCUAAAUGAAGAUGAAUGUAUCAGUUGGUUCACAUGUUUAGGAACGGAAUUUAAUAUCUUGGUUGAAUGGAUUUGCAGGCUCCACUUUUGUGAUUUUCUGUAUCAGAUUGAAAUGGCUAUGUAAAUGAUGAUUAAUGGUUUGGAAAAAGAAUUAAA